rnacentral:lncRNA from 10 species
GUGGGGAUAGUUCUGUGUAUACAGUGAUUAAGCACAUAGGUUCUGGAGCCAGUCUGUUUCUUUCAAAAUCACCUCAUUGCUUUUGAAGAAUCAGGGAAACCCCCAUGAGACUACAGGUGUGAAGCAAGAUAGAAGCAUCAGUGCAAAAGAGCAUCUUCAACCUUUCUGGACUACAGCACCUGCCAACUGACCCCCACAUCAUGGCUCCAACGCUGGCUUCAUCACAUAUCUUCUCUCUCAGUCCCUUUGGCUCUCAGGGUGCAAUAGCUUAACAAAAUUGCUGAUCUAGGUGCCUCAGCAUUGUUUCUUUGUCAUAGUCUCUGUAUUAUCUUAUUUUGAGCCAUUCUUUUCCUGCAAAGAUCCUAACUGAAUGAGAUAACUACUUCAUAAGCUAUUUGUAAGGUUUAAAUAAAUUAAUGCAUAUUUAAUACAUGAA